GCCUGGGUGGCUCAGUGGGUUAAAGCACCUGCUUUUGGCUCAGGUCAUGAUUCCGGGAUUGUGAGAUCGAGCCCCACAUCAGGCU
rnacentral:tRNA from 1 species